rnacentral:rRNA from 1 species
UAAGGGGAGGGCAAGUCUGGUGUCAGCCGCCGCGGUAAUACCAGCUCCUCGAGUGGUCGGGACGAUUAUUGGGCCUAAAGCACCCGUAGCCGGUUUCGUAAGUCCUCUGUUAAAUCCAGUCGCUCAACGGCUGGCCUGCAGAGGAUACUGCGAGACUAGGAGGCGGGAGAGGCGGACGGUACUCCGCGUGUAGGGGUAAAAUCCUUUGAUCCGCGGAAGACCACCAGUGGCGAAGGCGGUCCGCCAGAACGCGCUCGACGGUGAGGGGUGAAAGCUGGGGGAGCGAACCGGAUUAGAUACCCGGGUAGUCCCAGCCGUAAACGAUGCGAGCUAGAUGAUUCGGUCGCAUAACGCGAUCGAAGUGUCGCAGGGAAGCCGUUAAGCUCGCCGCCUGGGGAGUACGGUCGCAAGGCUGAAUUGUCGAUUGGAGAAAUUCAAUCGGCACAGUUCAC